rnacentral:misc_RNA from 1 species
UCCCUGGUUGACCAGGGCAGUCUCUGGUGACACUUGUAACACCAGACAAGGGUUGCGCUCGUUGCGGGACUUAACCCAACAUCUCACGACACGAGCUGACGACAGCCAUGCAGCAUCUGUGGUGCACCCUCGAAGGUCACACGUUUCCGUGCGCUUGCAGCACCAUGUCAAGUCCAGGUAAGGUUCUUCGCGUUGCAUCGAAUUAAAGAACAUGCUCCGCUGCUUGUGCGGGCCCCCGUCAAUUCUUUUGAGUUUUAGCCUUGCGGCCGUACUCCCCAGGCGGGGUGCUUAAUGCGUUAGCUGCGGCACAGACGGCGUGGAAUACCGCCUACACCUAGCACCCACCGUUUACGGCGUGGACUAC